GGUGGAAGUUUGUUACGCGCCGUGAUUCGGCUCAGAUUCGCGUGCGCUCUAGAUUAUAGCCAUGGCUCUUUUACAGUUAUAGUUUAUUUGAUACAUUAAAUGGAUAAUCGAGCAAAACUAGAGCUAGUACAUGCCAAUGCCGUAAGGUUGUAUUUAUUAGAUAUUCCAAAUAAGAUGAAUCAUAAUAACUCCGCAAAUCUCGAUUUCAUCGAGAUAAAUCAUCCAAGUUUCUGCCCUAUCAGCUUUCGAUGGUAGUGUAUUGGACUACCAUGGCUCUCACGGGUAACAGGGAAUUAGGGUUAUGGCUCACGGAGAAGGAGCCUGAGAAACGGCUUACUACAUCUAAGGAAGGCAGCAGGCGCGUACAUUACCCAAUCCUGACUCAGGGAGGUGGUGACAAGAUAUAAUAACCCUAUUAGCGUAGUGAUUAUAGUGAGGAUAUUCCAAACAGAAUCACAAGAACGAUUAGAGGGCAAGUCUGGUGCCAGCAGCCGCGGUAAUUCCAGCUCUAAUAGCGUAUAUAAAGUUGCUGCAGUUAAGAGCUCGUAGUUGGAUUUCAAGGAUACAUAUCCUAUGGAUGUGUACCUACUAGCCUUUCAGCUGUACUGUGAAAAUAAGUGUUAGCAGCUCAUGCAGAUCUAACAUGGAUACGAAGAUGAACUGUAUUCUAUUCUUAAAGACAGUGGGGCUGAUUUUUCAAGAAUUUGUUUUAAAAAUGAGAGUCAGGUAGUUUAUCCCAGGGGCAGCAGGCAU
rnacentral:rRNA from 1 species